rnacentral:lncRNA from 1 species
GAAUAAAGGAGUCAGUCUCCCCACCACCACCCUUGGGGCAAAAGGGACCUGGAUAGGAGGGUUGAUUCUUUGUUAUUCCGGCCCUACUCUUACCCCUCCCAGCUUUUGAGUGUCCUGGAGAAAUGAGAAUCUGAGUCGAUGGUAGUCACCAAUCUGCACUCUGUUCCCAGGACGUCGUUGGAGAACUGUGGGCUCACCUCUGAGGUUGAGAGGGGGUGCCCAUACCUAGCUCCUUCCCCAUUUUUAAUGCCCGUCCCUCACCCCUAUUGGUUCAGGGACAGCGGCUCAACCUGGGAGAAGGACAGAGUUAGGAGGGCGAAUGGAAGCGUGGUCAGGGAGGGCCUGGUUGCUCCCGGAGAGCCCCUGUUUGAGCCUGGCCCCCGCCCCAGGCACCGGCUCCCCUCCCUCCGCCUGAUUCAUCUUUUGUUUCAUUGCCUUCCCUGGCACCGGGCAUCGCUUCCUUCCUUCCUUCCUCCUCCUCCUUUGGGCCCUUAGCAUUAACCCCUUCGUGCUCUGGGUGCCCCCCAGAGAGGUGCCCAAGAGGAGCUGUGCGGGAUCAAGGCUGCUGGAAAAAGGAUUGGGGUGGCGGGGGUUGCGCGAAGUACAAUGGCCAUUAUCCGGGAUGACUUAACCGAGCGAGAAUCCUGAGCCCAGGCCGGGAACGCGCUGGGAGAAGCGGACUCAGCAGCUCCGGCCACAAAGGCGCUUUUCAGCCGCCCCGGCUCAGGGAGAGGAAAGGGCAGAAAGCCGCGCCCCCAAUCCCUGCUCCGUCCGGAUGCAGCCCAGAAGGGCGUGGGAGUAGCACCUGAGAAUAACGGUCUCCUUGUGCGGAUCUGGGGAGCCCCCUGCAGGGUGGCAACCAGAGGAAAGGGCCACAAUGUUCCACGGCCAAGGAGGAAAGAAGGAAUGCCCCUUUUCCCAUCUCUAGGUAGGAGGAAGGCUUCAGGGCAGAAGCAAAAGGAAUUAUUUCUUCCCUGGACAGGUUUUCCUAACAAAGUAACCUGGAAAACUAUGGCAAUUAAUCAGAGGAAAUCCGUACCCCUCCCUCUCCCCCCACCUCCCCACUCCAUACACAAUUAGGUGGUGUAAUGGAAAGUAUAUAGGGCUUAGAAUCAGGAGUCCUGAAUUCUAGUCCCAGCCAUGCCACUUUAAAUUGUGAGAGUUUAAAUUGCUUUUCCUCCUGGGGGAAGUCCAGCUCUCAGAUGUAAAAUGAGGGUGGCAGUGGGGGUGGGGAGGGUUGGAGGAAUGUCAUCUCUCAAGUUUUCUUUCAGUUCUAACAUUCAAGAUCACUGGCCAGGCUGGAUGAAGUGGCUCACACCUGUAAUCCAGCACUUUGGGAGGCCGAGGUGGGAGGAUCCCUUGAGCUCAGGAGUUCAAGACUAGCCUAGGCAACAUGGCAAGACCCCGUCUCUACAAAAAAUAAAAAAUAAAUCACUCGCCAGAGGUGGUCCUUCUCUUCCACCUCACUCUAGGUGGUUCCAAUGCUCAAAAAUGGUAGUUGAAUUUAUCCUAAUUAUGUAAUUCCAAGGAAAGCCCCUGAGAUAGGCAGAGCUUGGAAGACUUAGGAGCCCUCUGAUUCUCAGGUGGGUCCAUCUGUUAUUCUCACUGAGGAUUACUUUUUAACCCCAAGAUUAUCGUUUAGACCCUAGGAUAGCCCUAGAAUAGACCCUAGAAUAGAUGUGUCCUGGUUCUAGGACACGUUUCCCAUGCCAAAAGCAAUGUCUGCCCAGCCCCUCCUCAGGUAGAUGGUCUGGUGACCUGACCCUUGGCCACCCCUGUCCCAGCCCUUUUCAGUCUCUUCUUUUCGGCCCACAGAGCUUUUCUACAAUCAGGUCAGGAGCCAGGCUUCUGUCUGCUACCUAGCCAGCUCCUGGCCCCCAGCUCACCCCAGCCCUUCCUGCCUGGCUGGGUGGCUGACCCCCGGUCCACGCCUCAGCCAUUUCCCGUCUCGCCUGCCGCCAUCCUCCUUUCCCCGCCCUCGCUGCCUCUACCAGCUUCACUCUCACUAGUCAGUCCCUCCUCCCCUCCCCAUCCCAGACUAUUCUAGUCGGGAGCCGUCCUAAUUACUCUGUCCAGACUGCAAGGAUUUUUCCCCCCCCUGGGGCUGGUGACAAGGGAAAUCUCUAAGGCUAAACUCUCUGUAGGUGAAGCUGGACUCACCCACCUGGGCUGCCAUAGGAAAACGGAGGAGCUGGCAGUGCCCCGGCGCAGGCAUCUAAUAGCUGCUGUUUUUCAAAUGAAUGACUUCUCAGUUGGAAGCUGCUGAAGGGCAGUGGACACUCAAAAGUCUUUGUAAGAGGUACAGAAACAAGGCCAUGAAUAUAAGGAGGAGUCAGGGGACAAGCCAGCUUUAAGCAAGACUGAGGAUGGAGGAGUUUCC